rnacentral:rRNA from 1 species
GAUGAACGCUGACAGAAUGCUUAACACAUGCAAGUCAACUGUGGCGGACGGGUGAGUAACGAGUAAAGAACUUGCCUCACAGUUAGGGACAACAUUUGGAAACGAAUGCUAAUACCUGAUACUGUGAGAGAGCUUUGCGUCCCAUUAGCUAGUUGGAGAGGUAACGGCUCACCAACGCGAUGAUGGGUAGACGGCCUGAGAGGGUGCACGGCCACAAGGGGACUGAUACACGGCCCUUACUCCUACGGGAGGCAGCAGUGUGGAAUAUUGGACCAUGGACCAAAGUCUGAUCCAGCAAUUCUGUGUGCACGAUGAAGUUUUCGGAAUGUAAAGUGCUUUCAGUUGGGAAGCGGUACCAACAGAAGAAGUGACGGCUAAAUACGUGCCAGCAGCCGCGGUAAUAC